GGGGUGCCCACCUGAGCAUGGCCUCCUCCACGCGCGGCCCCGUGCGGGUGCUGCUCACCACGUCGUCCAACUGCAUCACGAUGUCGGCUCCUGCGGGCGUGUGUGGGGCGGCCCCACGGCGCUAUGGGGCAGCGCUCACCCGGCGCUAUGGGGCAGCGCUCACCCGGCGCUAUGGGGCAGCCCCAUAACUCCCAUUCCCUCCCCUUCCCUCCCCUCCCCUCCCCCUGGCGCAAUGGGGCAGCUAUGGGACUCAGCACGUUCUGUAGCCUCGUCCCCCCAGCGCUAUGGGGCAGCCCCAUAACUCCAGAGGGCUAUGGGGCAGGUGUGGGGCAGCCAUGGUGGAGGAUAUGGGGCAGCUAUGGGGCUCACCCAGUGCGGUCUGUAGCCCCAUCCCCCCUGUCCCCCCAGCGCUAUGGGGCAGCCCCAUAUCCCCAGAGGGCUAUGGGGCAGCUGUGGGGCAGGAUAUGGGGCAGCUAUGGGGCUCACCCAGUGCGUUCUGCAGCCCCAUCCCACCCCACCCCCCCCAGCGCUAUGGGGCAGCUGUGGGGCAGCCAUGGGGGAUGAUAUGGGGCAGCUAUGGGGCAGCCACAUGGGUGCUAUGGGGCGGCCAUGGGGCAGCUAUGGGGCGGCAAUGGGGCGGCCACGGGGCGGCUAUGGGGCAGCCGUGUGGGCGCUAUGGGGCAGCUAUGGGGCACGCUAUGGGGCGGCCAUGGGGAUGAUAUGGGGCAGCCAUGGGGCGGCCACGGGGAUGAUAUGGGGCAGCCAUGGGGCGGCCAUGUGGGUGCUAUGGGGCAGCUAUGGGGCGGCCAUGUGGGGGCCAUGGGGCACGCUAUGGGGCACGCCAUGGGGCACGCCAUGGGGCACGCCAUGGGGGCGCUAUGGGGCAGCCAUGUGGGCGCUAUGGGGCGGCCAUGUGGGGGCCAUGGGGCACGCUAUGGGGCAUGCUAUGGGGCACACUAUGGGGCGGCCAUGUGGGGGCCAUGGGGCACGCUAUGGGGCACGCUAUGGGGCACGCUAUGGGGCACGCCAUGGGGCACGCCAUGGGGCACGCUACGGGGCAGCCAUGGGGCACGCUAUG
rnacentral:lncRNA from 1 species